CACGAACGCUGGCGGCGUGCUUAACACAUGCAAGUCGAACGCGAAAACCCUUCGGGGUGAGUAGAGUGGCGAACGGGUGAGUAACACGUGGGCAACCUGCCCCAAGGAGCGGGACAACCCGGGGAAACUCGGGCUAAUACCGCAUGAUUCGCCGGCACUCAAGUGCCGGCGGCAAAUGGUAGCUUCGGCCUCCGCCUUGGGAUGGGCCCGCGGCGCAUUAGCUUGUUGGUGAGGUAACGGCUCACCAAGGCGACGAUGGGUAGCUGGUCUGAGAGGACGAUCAGCCACACUGGGACUGAGACACGGCCCAGACGCCUACGGGAGGCAGCAGUGGGGAAUCUUGCGCAAUGGGCGGAGGCCUGACGCAGCAACGCCGCGUGUGGGAAGACGGCCCUCGGGUUGUAAACCACUUUCAGGGGGGACGAAGCUUCCAGGGUUAAUAGCCCAUGGGGUGACGGUACCCCCAGAAGAAGCCCCGGCUAACUACGUGCCAGCAGCCGCCGUAAAAC
rnacentral:rRNA from 1 species